rnacentral:rRNA from 1 species
CACGUAGGGGGCAAGCGUUGUUCGGAAUUAUUGGGCGUAAAGGGCAUGUAGGCGGUUUGGUAAGCCUGAUGUGAAAUCCUGCAGCUUAACUGUAGAAUUGCAUUGGGUACUGCCGAACUUGAAUCACUGAGGGGAAACUAGAAUUCCAGGUGUAGGGGUGGAAUCUGUAGAUAUCUGGAAGAAUACCGGUGGCGAAGGCGGGUUUCUAGCAGAUGAUUGACGCUGAGGUGCGAAAGUGCGGGGAGCGAACAGGAUUAGAUACCCUGGUA